rnacentral:rRNA from 1 species
GUGAGGAAUUUUCCGCAAUGGGCGAAAGCCUGACGGAGCAAUGCCGCGUGAAGGAUGAAGGCCUAUGGGUUGUAAACUUCUUUUCUCAGAAAAGAAUUAUGACGGUAUCUGAGGAAUAAGCAUCGGCUAACUCUGUGCCAGCAGCCGCGGUAAGACAGAGGAUGCAAGCGUUAUCCGGAAUGAAUGGGCGUAAAGCGUCUGUAGGUUGUUUAAAAAGUAUUCUGUCAAAGAUUAGGGCUUAACCCUAGAUAGGCAGAAUAAACUUUUAAGCUAGAGUUUGGUAGAGGCAGAGGGAAUUCCCGGUGGAGCGGUGAAAUGCGUAGAUAUCGGGAGGAACACCAAAGGCGAAGGCACUCUGCUGGGCCAAUACUAACACUGAGAGACGAAAGCGAGGGGAGCAAAUGGGAUUAGAAACCCUGGUAGUCC